UCUCCGUUGGUGAACCAGCGGAGGGAUCAUUACCGAGUUAUCAACUCCCAAACCUCUGUGAACAUACCCAACGUUGCUUCGGCGGGACCGCCCCGUAGCCAUCGGCGUCCCGGAACCAGGCGCCCGCCGGAGGACCCAAACUCUUGUUUAAACCAUAGUGGCAUAUUCUGAGUCUAACAAGAAAAAUGAAUCAAAACUUUCAACAACGGAUCUCUUGGCUCUG
rnacentral:misc_RNA from 1 species